rnacentral:tRNA from 1 species
CGAGGUUCUCGGCGACCGUCGCGCCCGCCGCUUCGAGGGCGGCGGGCAGGUCGGCGGGUUCGGUGGCCUCGUGCGUCGGCCA